AUUGAACGCUGGCGGCAGGCCUAACACAUGCAAGUCGAGCGCGCGGCGCACGGGUGUGUAAUGUCUGGGAAACUGCCUGCUGUAGGGGGAUAACUACUGUAAACGGUAGCUAAUACCCCAUACCAUCAGCUGUCCCCAGGUGGGAUUAGCGAGUAGGUGGGGUAACGGCUCACCAAGGCGACGCUCCCUAGCUGGUCUGAGAGGAUGACCAGCCACACUGGGACUGAGACACGGCCCAGACUCCUACGGGAGGCAGCAGUGGGGAAUAUUGGACAAUGGGCGCAAGCCUGAUGCAGCCAUGCCGCGUGUGUGAAGAAGGCCUUCGGGUUGUAAAGCACUUUCAGCGGGGAGGCGUUACCCGCAGAAGAAGCACCGGCUAACUCCGUGCCAGCAGCCGCGGUAAUAC
rnacentral:rRNA from 1 species